AAUAGUUUGAGAUGAACAGAGAAACAUAGAGAUCCGUCAUCUUUUUUUUGUCUUCUUCUUUUCUUGAUAAUGAAGAAGAUCGAUUUGAUGAUGAAGACCAGAGAGAGAGAUUGGAACGAGGAGGAAGAAGAUGAAACGUUGUUAUUUAUAAGUAAAAUCUCACGCGCUUUAUUACAACUUUUUGGUCAACUGGCUUCCUGUCUUUGACUAUUUGAGUUCACGUGGCAACUCUUCCAACAAUACUCAGAUUAGAACGAGGUUCUUAACAACAUUCUCACUUUCAACAUCUUCUAGAUCAUUUUUGUUACAUAGAACAAAAAUCAAACUUUGAUGUCAAUGAGUCCAACUCCCCACGUACGCGGAAAAGAAGAAGGUGAGUGGAGAAGCAAGCAAGUGGGUUACACAACCUGUACACGUGAUGCGGACACGGUAUUGACGGAGAUGAUUUGGUA